GAGGGUAUAGCUCAGUGGUGGAGUGUGUGCUUAGCAAGCAGGAGGUCCUGGGUUCAAUCCCCAGUACCUCCA
rnacentral:tRNA from 1 species